GGAAAAAUGUGUUACUGCCCCCUUUUUAGACAUCUGGUAGUGAUUAAAUGUGAGUAUAAAGCAGAGAUGAAGUGUGCUUGGACUACAGAAAGCAGCAGUAUGAAGAGUAGUGUGCAGCUAGGGCUGUUGUGUCUCAGCCUGCUCAUCUUCAGUCUUCAUGGAGAAGAAGAAGUCGAGACAGAUUCAAGCAUGCAAAACCCAAUUAAGUUUGAUGAGCCGGAUCUUCAUCAGUUUGAGAUGUACAGAGUACGAAGACAGACGGUCUCCACAGAGAAGGAAAAUACAGCAAAGACAGUAGCUGUUGUGCCACCAAGUGAGAACAGCAAGGCUAAGAGAAAACGGCCACGUCCAGGAGGUCUUACUCCUUUAGGAGACAGUGGAGAUUCAACGAGCCAGGACAAAAACAGGAAUAACAAACAGAAAAAACGUCCCGGGAGUCAGAGCCUUUUAGCAAUCAGUGGAGUUUUCCAGCUGCCCCAACAGACUGCCAAAGCCAAGAGAGAUGCCGGAGGAAAAAGGCCCUUGCCAGAAAGUUAAAGCAUUGUACAUGUUCAAGGCUCCUUCUGAGGUUACCUGAAUUAGGAAAAAUAGGAAUUGCAAAUAAAUACAUCACCAUGUUUCA
rnacentral:lncRNA from 1 species